ensembl:lncRNA
CCCUCACCUGCCUGUGCUACUAGGGGUGAAAAACAUCACUGUGGUUUUCCCCGCUGAGGAGCUUGCAUUUUGUCUGACCUACUUUGCAAAAGCAAAAAGAUUAGCAAUAAGAAGGCGGUCGAUCAACAAGCCCUCCUCACCGAAGCUGUCAAGGUCCUUGGGACAUCACGGUCCCCGGUCUUAGGCGGCAUCAGACUACGCAUCCCCGGAAUCAGAGCAGACUGAGAGCGCCUGCAAGGAAAGCUGAGUCUAAGCCGCCUCUUCUGUCUCUUUGCGAGGCACUGGGGCCCCCUUUUCUCCCCGCAAUUGCAGAUGUAACGCCUGAGAUGCAUGGACAGCUGUUCUACCUGUUCCCGGUAGAAGUGUAAGGUGGGUUAUUUAUUCCUUUGGCUUUCUCCCACUUGGGUCUCAGGGUGGUAAAUUACUUUAUCUAAAGCCAAAGCUGUUGUGGGGUGGCCAUCUCUUCCAGCACUUUCUUUCUGUAACACCAAGCAUUCUCCUCCGGUCAUUUCUGACCUAGGGUAGUAAUGUUCCCUUCUGGUGCCAACCUUCCGGUGCAUCCCCAUCCAUUCUUGGUUUCCUUUAACCUGUGCUCACUUGCCCUUUGUAGAUAAUCACUUUAUUAAACUCCUCUCAAUACCCCUUUAGAAUGCACAUUUGUUUUGUGUGACAACAUUGAUUCAUUUAGGCCCCUCUUUCAAAUACACAAUCACUCCAAAAUAUUUAGUAAGCCAAAAUAUUUAGUCCUGGGGUAUUUCAGAAGUUGGACAUAGAAAGAGGAUCCAGCAGAGCAAACUGAGAAAGAGUGUCUGCUGAAGUGAAAGGAGAAGGAGGAGAGUGGGAUAUCAGGAAGCCAAGGAAGUAUGCUAACUAUGAGGACUGUGAGGAUAGAAAAGCUGAGCUGUGGGAAUGAAAGUCUCCUUGCAGAGGUUCAGGAGAGGCUUGGAAGUGAAAGAUGCAGACAUUGCCUAUAUACUGUUAAGGUGAUUUUUUUAAGCUUUCACUUAGAAGUAAUUUAAACUUAACAAGAAAGAUGCAAGAAUAGUCCAUAGAUAGCCAGCAUACCUUUUAUCCAUAUGCCUCAAUUUUCAAUAAUAUGUGGUGCCUCUCUCUCUGUCUCUUUCUUUCUUAUUCUCUUUCUCACAUACACACAAUUAGAGACUAGAUUUCGUAUAUUGUGUCCAUCCUACACCUUAAUAUUUCAGUGUGUAUCCUAUGAACAAGGCUUUUACUGAAGCACAGUAUAGUGAUCAUUUUUGGGAAAUUUAACCUAUAUACAAUAGUUUUAUGUAAUCUAAAGUUCAUGGUCCAAUUUUGCCGAUUCUCCUAAUAAUGUCCUUUACAGUAUUUUUACUCCUGCGGUUCAUGAUCCAGUCCAGAACAAAUGUUGCAUUUAGUUAUCCUGUCCCUUCAGUCUUGUUUAAGAUGGGAAAAUUCCUCACUAUCUCAUGACCUUGACAUUUUUAAGAAUAUGGGCCAGUUAUUUCAUUGAAUAGUCCUCAGUCUGGUUUUAUUUGAUGUUUCCUCAUGAUUAGAUUGAGAUUAUGCAUCUCUCGUGGGAAUGCUGUGUGAGUGAUGUGUAAUUUCAAGGCAUUAUGUUUGGAAGUACACAAUGUCUGUGUGCUGCCCACUGGUGAUUUUAACUUUGAUCAUUUUCCCCCUCACAACUAAUAAGCAAUCUAAAGGAAAAGAACUUGAGAUAAUGUAAAUAUUUUGCUUCUCAUUAAAGUUCCCCCUAUUAAUAUUUAGCAUCCAUGGCAAUUCCUGCCGAAAUGAAGUUUUAAUGUAUUUAUUGCAAAAUGAUGAUUUUCCAAUGCUUCCAUGCUCUACUCAUUUGUCCAUUGGAAUUCUACUGUAAGAAAAUCCUCCAUUCUUCUCUUUUUAAUUGUCUAUUUUAAAAUUAGUAUAAACUAACAGAUUUCUAUCUUAACAAGGUAUAAUUCAUUCUCUUCCUAUUUAUUUCAAUCCUCAAAUUCUUAAGUGCUUUUGUAGUGGAGCAGAGAAAUGAGAUAACUGAAGAUAAAUGAGAGAUUUUCUAGAAAUUUUUUUCUUUUUACUUUUUGUUUUUUUCGGAUGUACAUCAUAUUUCAAAUUCUGUAUACGUUACAUCGUGUUCACCACCCGAACACUAAUUAUAGUGCAUGCCCUCACAUGUGACCCUAAUCACCCCUUUUGCCCUCCCCCCGCCCCCUUCCCCAAUGGUAACCACCAGUGAUCUAAGAAUGUAUGUUUGUACCCCAAGGGGAAUGAAGUCAUGGUGAAGGAGAGAUACCUGAUGAAGUACAGAGGGUAUAUUUCCCCUUUAAUAAGCAAAAGGAGAGGUAAUACAGAGAGGGUUUGGGCUAAAAUAGAACACCUUUAUAGAAAAACUUUCUUUGAAAUUCACCAUUAACAUACUGCUCAUCUUUAUUUUUCCUCUACAUUUUACACAGUGUGAAAGCUGAUCUCCCUGUACCACCAUAUGGUGGAAAUUUAGUUUGGUCACAUUGCUGCAUUGUUGACCCUGUUGACAGAGUGAGUUUCAACCAUAUUUUAGCCUUGACACAUCUCUGGGUGACAAAGCAGGCAAAAGGUCUACAAUCACUUUCUCUUAAGGUGCCUCACAGCAGUGGCCGUUCUGAGGUAAUUCUAUCCUGCUGUUGUAUUUCUGCUGUUGACCUUAGAAAUGAAAUAACAAGGUCUUUAGCCAAAGUGACUUUAUUUGGGAAUAGCAGAAGAAUUGCAACUUGGGACAAGCAAAUGAUGGUUAACCAUAGAGGAGACAAAGGGAAGGUCAGCUUUUAUUAUGUUUUAGGAGGAAAUGGGCGGGGGGGGGGCACUGUGAUGAUUUUUCAUUGGCUGCAAGUGGUGGGCAGCUUGUUGCUGCUGGAAGAACAGAAGGAAAUCCUUCUUCCUGCUGAGGUCUGUAAACUGCAGUGAGCGACACGUGAGUGAGAGCCCUCCCUUCAUGGCUUCCUGACUCCAUUUUGAUUGAGGUUUUCUUCGCUCAUUUUCACACUGCUCAACAGGCGGCACCCAGUCAAGCAGUAAAAUGUCUCACCUUUUUACUAGUGCUCCCUAAAUGUUCUGAAAAUUAUUUAUAGGACUGCACAGCAUCAUUUGGCUUCCCAGAGGUACACCUUGGUUCCCCUCUGGAUGGGAUGUGGAUGCGAACACCACAGUUUUCUCCACUCCUAGGAGUUCCCUUCUAUGAAUCUUCUCUAAUUUGUCAAUUUCACUUAUAUUGCCUGUAGAGGAUAAUUACUCCCAGGGCAUGUUGAGUUGCUUCCUGGUAAUUCUGUGGGGAUCUUUCUAGAAUCCAUAGCGCUGCUCACACAUUGAUCUUAUUUUGAGAGCUUCUCUCAUAAUAGGAAAAGUCUAUUCCAUAAGCUCUCCUAGAACUUAACAACAAGAAGACCUUGAGCAGAGGGAAUGGUAAUGUGUUAAACGUAACGUUUGCUGUGAAAUUUUUAAAGAGGCUGAGAAAGGUAGGCCUGCAAAAGCCAGGAAAAACAUAUAAUUUGUCACCCAAACCAGGACACUUAACAAUCAAAGGGGGCACUGGUAACGAUUUUCCAGGAUGAGAAACUAGGACUAUCUCAGGCACACUGGCAAUGUGAUUGACCUAGUUUUGGCCAAAAAUGGAAUUAAAGAUGGUAGGAGUGAAAAUUGACAGGAAUGUAGUGCUUUCGAAUUGAAUAGAGUUUAAAGUAGUGUAUGGGUGAAGAAGGGGUGGAAGGACUGGUAAAGUGAGGCUAUUCUCGGUAGUUCUGAGUAGUUUGGUCCAUUAGAGAACUCAGCUGUGUUUUGAGUUAUGUUAGGCACAUUGCCAGCAUCAUUUCUAAUUCUCCCAGGCACUGGGCCCGAUGCACCAUCAUCGUGUACAUACUAUUAUGUUUAUACAUAUGAAGCUCAGAUAGAUCAUAUAAUUCAAAUCCAGAUUAAAACCCAAAGCUAUAAGCAAAGACACAGUGGUGGAUUAGAGAAGUUAAAUGUUUGAAGGACGGUGGAUAACAACCAUCCUGGACCUACAAAACUUAAUUGAAUAUAAAGAGAAAAUUACUUUGUCCAUAACUAGGCUGCCAUCCAAGUCACCACCUACAGUGUCAAAGGAGAUGAUUAAGCACUGUUCAGUCAAAAGUUCUUCAAAAACAAAAAGAUAACUAAAAAAUAUUUGUUAAAAGCAUAAUACCCUAAAAACCAGUGGAGCUUCUCUGAUGGAAUAGAAAUACAAGGCUUCCUAAAUUAAAGAAAUACAAAUUAAAACAGGGAGAUACAGAUAUAUAUUAUAUAUUUUGCCCCUCAAGAUGCAAAAGAUAAUCUAAGUUGAUUAUACCCAAUUAAGAGCUUAGGGCAGAAUACACUCUCAUAUUAGGCAAGUGAUUUUUUAUUUUGCACAACAUUUUGAAGAACAAAAUAGAAAUGUCAAAAAAAAAAAAGGUAACAUGAAGAUUCUUAGGAAUUGAAUCUUCUUCUACAACUGUCUCCUACAAAAACACUUCCACAUGUUGAGAAUGGUGAAAUUUAGAUUGGGGAAUGUCUGAUAAUAAAAAAAAUGAUAGGGGCCAGCCCAGUGGCGUAGCAGUUAAGUUUGUGCACUCCGCUUUGGCGGCCCGGGGUUCGCCAGUUGGGAUCCUGGGCACGGACCUGUGCACUGCUUAUCAAGCCAUGCUGUGGCAGGUGUCCCACAUAUAAGAAAAAAAAUAGAUGAAGAUGGGCACAGAUGUUAGGUUGGGACCAAUCUUCCUCAGCAAAAAAAGAAGAAGAAGAAGAAGAGGAGGAUUGGCGGAGGAUGUUAGCUCAGGGCUAAUCUACCUCAAAAAAAAAACAAAAGAUAAACAUUAUAAAUAGCCUCCUCACAAAUGAGGCCAGGCUUUCUUUACCAAUGAGUUUAGAUACAAAAUAUAUACUCCUUAAAAGAACAGAAACAAAACCAUAAGUCUUCAAAAAUCUAGAGUUGUCAAAGUUGCUAAUAAGGAAAUGUAGAACCGUACUGCAUACUCUUUAUCAGACCUUCAAUUUUUAGUAAUUAUGGGAAUAUUUGACGUCUCUCACCCCGAUGAUGAAGUUGUUAUAGUUUGCUGGGCUGCCAUAACAAAACACCACAGCCUAGGUGCUUAAAUAACAGAAGUUUAUUAUCUCACAGUUCCGAGGGCUAGAAGUCCAAGAUCAAGGCAUCGGCAGGUUUGUUUUCUCCUAAGACCUCUCUCCUUGGCUGGCAGAUGACUACCUGCUGCACAGUCCUCACAUGGUCUUACUCUGUGUACCCAUUCGUAUAGGGCAGCAGUCAGAUUGGAAUAGGGCCCAUCCUAAGGGCAUCAUUUUAACUUAAUCACCACUUUAAUGGCCUAUCUCCAAAUACAGUCACAUUCUGAGGCUCUGGGGGUUAGGGUUUCAACAUAUGAAUGUGGGGGGACCAAUGCAGCCCAUGAAAGAAGUAUUACUCUUGAAAUCUAGGAGGAAAGAUAAAGAUUAAAAACAAAUUCCUGGCAACUCCUCCACUUCAACUUUAUAUCCUUUCUUUCUUACAUGCCUCCAUUUGAAAUAAAGGCCAAUUAGAAAAAUCAAAGUACUUAAAUAAAGAACUACUAAUGUCCUUGGUAUAUGUCAAUUUCAUUAAUUCCUCAAGUGUGUCAAUGUGCUCCAGGCAAAGACCACCAAAAAUACACUUGCAGUUGAAUAUGUUGGUUUAUUAUUCAUUACACAAGAGUGAACUUAUGCCAUAGGGAACCACGAGGUGUCUCAAUAUGAGGGUUUGAAUGUAUUAUAGGAUUUGGGCUUGUUUGCUGAUCCUGAUUUUGAUCCGGUUGUUUUUUUGUUGUUGAGUUGUAUGAGUUAUUUAUACAUUUUGGAGAUUAACCCCUUGUUGGAUAUAUGAUUUGCAGAUAUUUUGUUCCAGCUGGUGGGUUUUAUUUUCAUUUUGUUCCUGGUUUCCUUUGCCUUGCAGAAGCUCUUUAGUCCGAUGAAGUCCCAUUUUUUAAUUUUUUCUUUUGUUUCCCUUGUCCAAGUAGACAUGGUAUUCAAAAAGAUCCUUCUAAGACUGAUGUCAAAGAGUGUAGUGCUUAUAUUUUCUUCUAGGAGUCUUAUUGGUUUCACAUCUUGCCUUCAAGUCUUUAUCAGUUUUGAGUUAGUUUUUGUGUAUGGUGAAAGACAAUGGUCUACUUUCAUUCCUUUGCAUGUGGCUGUCCAGUUUUUCCAACACCAUUUAUCGAAGAGACUUUCCUUCUCCAUUGUAUGUUCUUAGUUCUUUUUUGGAAGAUUAGCUGUGUGUAGAUGUGCAGUUUUAUUUCUGGGCUUUCAGUUUUGCUCCAUUGAUCUGUGUGUCUGUUUCUGUACCAGUACCAUGCUGUUUUCAUUACUAUAGCUUUGUAGUACAUUUUGAAGUCAGGGAUUGUGAUGCCUCCAGCUUUGUUCUUUUUUCUCAGGAUUGCUUUAGGUAUUCGAGGUCUUUUGUUACCCCAUGUGAAUUUUAGGAUUCCUUGUUCUAUUUCGUGAAGAAUGUCAUUGGGAUUCUGAUUGGGAUUGCAUUGAAUCUGUAGAUUGCUUUAGGCACUAUGGACAUUUUAACUAUGUUCAUUCUUCCAAUCCAUGUGCAUGGAAUAUCUUUCCAUUUCUUUAUGUCAUCAUUGAUUUCUUUCAGUAAUGUCUUACAGUUUUCAUUGUAUAGAUCUUUCACCUCCUUGGUUAAAUUUAUUCCUAUAUAUUUUAUGCUUUUUGUUGUGAUUGUAAAUGGGAUUGUACUCUUGAAUUCUCUUUCUGUAAGUUCGUUAUCAGAGUGUAGAAAUGCAACUGAUUUAUGUAAGUUGAUUUUGUGCCCUGCAACUUUACUGUGGUUGUUAUUUGCGGUAGUUUUCCAAUGGAUUCUUUAGGAUUUUCUAUAUAUAAAAUCAGAUCGUCUGCAAAGAGCAAGAGUUUCUCUUCUUCAUUGCCAACUUGGAUACCUUUUAUUUCUUUUUCUUGCCUAAUUGCUCUGACUAAAACCUCCAGUAAAAUGAUGAAUAAGAGUGGCGAGAGUGGGCACCCUUGUCUUGCUCCUGUUCUCUGAGCAAUGGCUGUCAGUUUUCCCCACUGAGCAUGAUGUUGCCUGUGGGUGUGUCAUAUGCGCCCUUUAUUAUGUUGAGGCACUUUCAUUCUAUACCCAUUUUAUUGAGAGUUUUUAUCGUAAGUGGCUGUUGGACCUUGUCAAAUGCAUUCUCUUUGUCUAUUGAGAUGAUCUUGUAGUUUUUAUUCCUCAUUUUGUUAAUGUGAUUUAUCCCAUUGACUGAUUUAUGGGUGUUGAACCCUCCCUGCAUCCCUGGCAUAAAUUCCAUUUGAUCAUGGUGUAUGAGCCUUUUAAUGUAUUGCUGCAUUCAGUUUGCCAAUACUUUGUUGAGGAAUUUUACAUCUAUGUUCAUCAGCAAUAUUGGCGUGUAAUUUUCCUUCUUUGUGUUGUCCUUGUCUGGUUUUGGUAUCAUGGUGAUGUUGGAUUCAUAGAAUGUGUUAGGAAGUGUUCCAUCUUUUUCAAUUUUUUGGAAUAGUUUGAAAGGAUAGGUAUUAAAUCUUCUUUGAAUGCUUGGUAGAAUUCUCCAGAGAAGCCAUCUGUCCCUGGAUUUUUAUUUUGGGGGAAGUUUUUGAUUACUGUUCCAAUCUCUUUACUUGUGAUUUUUCUAUUCAGAUUCUCUAUUUCUUAUUGAUUCAGCUUUGGGAGAUUGUAAGAGUCUAAGAACUUAUCCAUUUCUUCUAGAUUGUCCAAUUUGUUGGCAUAUAGCUUUUCAGAGUAUUCUCUUAUAAUCGUUUGUAUUUGUGUGAUAUUCAUUGUCAUUACUCCUCUUUCAUUUCUAAUUUUAUUUAUUCAAGGCUUCUCUCUUUUUUCUUAGUGAGUCUGGCUAAGGGUUUGUCAAUUUUGUUUAUCUUCUCAAAGAACCAGCUCUUUGUUUCAUUGAUCCUUUCUACUGUCUUUUUUGUUUCAAAUGCAUUUAUUUCUGCUCUAAUUUUUAUUAUUUCCCUCCCGCUGAUUUUGGGCUUCAUUUAUUCUUCUUUUUCUCGUUCUGUUAGGUGUAGUUUAAGAUUGCUUAUUUGAGAUUUUUAUUGUUGUUAAGGUGGGCCUGUAUUGCUAUGAAUUUCCUUCUUAGGACUACUUUUGCUGCAUCCCAUAUGAGUUGGUAUGGUGUAUUUUCAUUUUCAUUUGUCUCCAGAUAUUUUUGAUUUCCCCUUUAAUUUCUUCAAUGAUCCAUUGCUUGUUCAGUAGUGUGUUGUUUAGUCUCCACAUCUUUGUGCCUUUCUCAACUUUUUUCUUGUAAUUAAUUUCCAGCUUUAUAGCAUUGUGAUAGGAAAAGAUGCUUGUUAUUAUUUCAAUUUUCUUAAAUUUAUUAAGGCUUUCCUUGUUUCCAACCAUAUGGUCUAUCCUUGAGAAUGUUCUGUGAGCACUUGAGAAGAAUGUGUAUUCUGCUGUUUUUGGAUGGAGUGUUCUCUAUAUAUCUAUAAAGUCCAUCUGGUCUAGUUUUUCGUUUAAAUCCACUAUUUCCUUGUUGACUUCCUGUUUGUAUGAUCUAUCCAUGGAUGUAAGGGGGGGGGUAAGGUCCCCUACUAUCAUUGUGUUGUUGUUAAUAACCUAUUUUAGGAUUUGUUAAUAGUUGCUCUUUGUACUUUGGUGCUCCUGGGUUGGGUGCAUAGAUAUUUAUAAGUGUUAUAUCUUCUUGGUGGAGUGUCCUUUUGAUCAUUAUAUACUGCCCUCUUUGUCUCUAUUUACCUGUCUCAUCUUAAAGUCUACUUUGUCUGAUAUAAGUAUGGCAACAUCUGCUUUUUUUUGUUUGCCAUUACCUUGGAGUAUUGUCUUUCAUCCCUUCACUCUGAGCCUUUGUUUGUCUUUGGAGCUGAGAUGUGUUUCCUGGAGACAGCAUGAUAUUGGGUCUUGUUUUUUAGUCCACCUCGCCACUCCAUUACUUUAGAUUGGAGAAUUCAACCCAUUUACAUUUAGAGUGAUUAUUGAUAUAUGAGGGCUUAAUGCUGCCCUCUUAUCACUUGGUUUCCAGUUGUUCUGUAUUUCCCUUGUUUCUUGUCCCAUGUGUUUCAAACUGCCAAUUCAGUUUGGUGGUUGUCUAUAAUUGUUUUCUCACUUUUCUCUUUAUCAUUUGUCUCUCUUCCAAUUUUUUGUUUAAUGGUGACUGUGACAUUUGUAUAAAAGAUCUCAUAGGUGAGAUAGUCCAUUUUCUCAUAAUCUAUUUCCUUAGUCCAGACAGGUUCCAUCCCUUACCUCUUCCCCAUCUAAGUAUUGUUGUCACAACUUAUUCCAUUUUGUGUUGUGAGUUUGUGGGUAAAAUGAAGCGAUUAUACUUAUUCUUGAUGUUUUUCUUCCUUUUCUCUUUAAUGUUAUAAUUGUUUGCUAUCCUGUUCUAAUACAGAGUUGAAAUUUUCUGAUUUUGUCUGCCUAUUUAUCUCCUUGCUCAAGGCUUUGUAAAUGCUUUCUUUUUUUCUUUUCCGGUAUGAGGGCCUUUUUGAUCAUUUCUUACGUGUGUGGGGAGGGGUGGGUCUUGUGGUGAAGAACCCUCUUGGCAUUUGUUUAUCUGGGACAGUUUUUAUUUCUCCAUCAUAUCUGAAGGAUAAUUUUGCUAGAUAGAGAAUUCUUGGCUGAAGAAUUUUGUCUUUCAGAAUUUGAAUAUAUCGUUCCACUCUCUCCUAGCCUGUAAGGUUUCUGCUGAGAAAUCUGCUGAAAGCCUGAUAGGGGUUACUUUGUAAAUUAUUUUCUUCUGCCUUGCUGCCCUUAAUCUUUUUUCUUUGUCGUUGACUUAGCCAGUUUUAAUAUUAUAUGCCUUGGAGAAGGUCUUUGUCCAUUGAUGUAAUUAGGAGUUCUAUUAGCUUCUUUUACUUAUAAUUCCACCCUCUUCCCCAGGUUUAGGAAGUUCUCAGCUAUUAUUUCUUUGAAUUUUAAUUUGGUUUUUCUUUAUAUUUUCAAUCCCUUUUGUGAAGAAUUCCCUCUGUUCAUUCAUUUUAUUCCUGAUUUCAUUGAACCAUCUUUCUGAGUUUUCUUGUAACUUGUUGAGGUUUUUUAUGAUAGCUAUUUUGAAUUCUCUGUCAGAUCAUAAAUUCCUGUUCUUUCAGGAUUGAUUUCUGGGUGUUUGUCAUUUUCUUUCUAGUAUGGAGUAUUAAUAUACCUCUUCAUACUAUUUGAUGGAGUGGAUUUGUGCCUUUGCAUAGUGGUACUAUCUGGUUGCAGGUUCCACUUUCUGCCACCAAAUGGGAGCAGGCACUGUGCAUUCUGUGCCCACUGUGAUCCCUAGCAGCUGUGCCUGUCUGAGCCUGGGCCACUCCUUGGGACUGCAGUGGCCUGAGAGUUCUCCCACCAGAUGGGAAGGUGAUCAUGCAGAGGCUCAGGGAUGCUGCCACUUGCUCCCUCAGUCCUGCUGAGAUUAACUCCCACCUUCAGGGCAUCAGCAGUACUGUGGGCAUUUGUGGAAGCCAGGAAAUCAUUUUCCCAGGCAUUCAGGUCUGCUGCCACCUCUUCCUAGGUUGCACCAGCAGUUGUGCUUGGUGGGCGGGAGCUCCCAACAAGACCUGAGCCUGGACCACUCCUUGGGACCAUGGUGGCACUGUGGGCUCUCCCACUCGAUGGGAAAGCCAUCAUGCAGGGGCUCACGGCUGCUGCUACGUGCUCUCACAGUUCCACUGAGAUCCGCAUCCACCUUCAGGGCCACAGCAUUACUAAUGGCAUUUGUGGCAGUUGGCAACUUUUUCACCUGGGCACUCAGAUCUGCUGCCACCUCUUCCUACGUCACACUGGCCAUUGUGCUUGGUGGUCAGGGCCUCCCUACAUGGUCUGAGCCUGGGACACUCCCUGGGACUGUGGUGGCACUGUGGGCUCUCCCACUGGAUGGGAAAGCAGUCAUGUGGGAGCAGUGGGCUGCCGUCUCCUGUUCCCACAGUGGCACUAAGGGGCAGUCACAUCCUCGGGGCUGCAGCGGUACUAUGGGCACACCAGCCGGGAGAACAGUCACAUGUGUGCACAGGGUUUCUGGGGGCUGGAGAAUGCUCACCUAUCUCCACCACCUUCCCAGGGGUAGUCCAUCCAUCUUCAGAUGUAUAGCUAUGUGGGUCUCUCAGGCACCCUGUUGUGCUGUGUGAGUAUCCUCCAUUGACCAACAAAUGUCCAUUUAGUUGUAGUUUGAAGGGGGAGAGAUAAAGGGAACAGGUCAUCAGCCUUGUUGUCUCCCUUCAGAUUGACCUUGCAGAAUAAAAGCUGAUUUCUCCCCCAAAGGCUGAUGCCAUAAGUAAUUGCCUUGUUUAUGUGCAUCAGGCAGAGAACCCCACUUUUGUGUGGUAACACCAAUUCUUCUACAACAUUUUAUCUUAAUUCCAUCAACUCUUACAUCUCUAAUCAUAGCUUCCAUUAGGACUUCAAUAAGUCUUGCUCUUAUAAUACUGGGUAGUGGAAGUGUUCCCAGCCAGAUAUAACAUUUAUUUCCAAAAACACUCAGGCAAGCUGACAUACCCUCUUCAUAUAAUACUAGCUCAAAAUUCCAACCUUUAUAAUCCUAUCAGCCCUUACAUCUAGCAUUUUUUUCAGUCUAAUUGUAGCCUGAGUCAGGGUCCCACCAAAGGGUUUUGGUACCACAGUUUCUGGGGUUCCUGCAUCAAGGAGUCCCAUCUUCUGGUCAUUUUACUCAUUCCUGUGCAAGAGGAUUUGAGUCUCCAGUGAGAGGUUGAACCAAAGGACCUUGGCCCUUUUGUCAGUUUUUAACUUAGCUGGCCUUACAGUUGCCCCAAGUGAUUGUUGGUCAGGUUUCUCAUUGUGAUUUCUGCCUUCCAGCUUUUUAAAUUUCUCCAGACUGAGGUAAAUAGAGUGGACUUGUUUGGGGCCCUUUAAUGGUGGUGGGAGCCAGUAGGGGGUCCCUUUGGCCCACUCAAUCUUAACUAGUGCUGUAUUAAAACCUUUGUUUUAACCCUGUUGUCUGCAGCCGAAAAGGGCAAGGAAUGACAGGUACCACCAAGGCUACUUGCUUGUUUAAGCAAUCAAAGUUUAUUGAUAAAGGGAAACAGAAUGAGGAGCAGGGACAAAUGGGAACAACAAAUCGGUACUUACGACAUCCAUACCACAAUCAUCCAGGGAAGUCCCAAUAGUUUGUACAGCGGGUGGGAGUGCCGACUGUCCGGGUUUGAGUCAAAGUGUCCUUUCCUCAGUGAGACUUCCACUUGUUGUAUGCCUGUGACUCACUUUUAUCUUAAGGUUUCUCUAGGUUUUGACUCAGGCUUUCAGACAUUUGGAUACUUUGAGUUAUUUCUUCUUGUUUCCACGGAUGGGGAGCUUCUAUCUUUUUUGUUCUUACGGAUGGGAUAUUUCUAAAGUCCAGUCAGGUGCCUGUUGGAGUGGCCAGCCCAGACAAGGAACAUGACGCAGGACAUAUUUUUUGUAACUUGUGCCUUAGAGUCAGGGCUGUCUUUGGCCCCAUGCCCAGACACAUUCUUGCGUGUAGGACCCAGGCCCAGUCUCCUUGGAGGUCAAUGAACUCUGUACAAACCCCAUUAAUGUCCAUUUUAUUUACCCCAUUUUUAAAAAAUAACCAUCUGAAGAUUCCUAUCCUGCCGGGAUGAGUCUCAUGACGCUUCCCUUUCUGAUUCCUCUUAGUUUCCCCCCUUUCACUAUUUUUUUUAAUCAAUAUUUGUUUUAUUUACCUUAUUUCCUAAAAACCCUUUUAAAAAUUUCCACCUUGUUGAGAAGAGUCCCUUGACCCUCCCCUUGGCUUGUUUCCACUCUUUUAGUAAUUACCUUAAUGCUCUCAUUAGCAUCUGUAAGACCAAGAGGGGAAGCCGAGACCCCAAAUUCCAUUGUGUUCUUGAGGCUAGCUGUUAUUUCUUUGUAUUUCUUUUUAAUUUGGUCUUUCCACCGGUACCAAUAAAACAGCUGUUUAUGAUAAGAGGGCUCUAAAAAUGUUUCUAAUUUAGAAGUUUUUCUAAUUUAAGGGCUACUGACAAGUAGAAUUUUAAUAGCGAUUCAAACCAAUAACCCUUUUAUAGCUUAACCAUGGAUGCAAGAGGCGUCCCCAAAAGAGAGUGCAAAAGGAGCCUUCACAAGAUCCAGAAAGUUCACGCCAGAAAAUAGUCUAAGAGAGCAAAGGCCUUGUUGCACAGCUGGUAAGGUCGGUGUAGUGAGAAUGAGGUCUCCAGUCUCCCACGGGAAUGUGGGACACCUGCAAUCAAAAACCCACUAAUCUGUCACAGUGGGCAGAUGCUGCUGGAAUCGGAUUUUCUAGCACUAACAAGCAAAGAAGGUUGAGCCAACAAAGGUCCCUUGUGGACUGAGACCCCUUAUGACAAACUCCCCUGAGAGCUGAUUCAAGCCAAAGAAAGAAAGACUGGGGACCCCAGUCUAUUUGACUGGCUGACAAGAUGCAUGCUAGUAAGAGCAUCCUCCAGAUGAUGGAGACCAGAGAGGUCACAAAGCCAAGCUUUCAAGACAUACAACAAAAGGGGCAGAGCAAAAUGGCGGGGUGAGCUGACCCGGGAUUCUCUCUCCUCCAAAAUACAACAAAGGAUUGGAAAAACUGAAUUUCAGAGAAUAAAUCUAAUGCCAACAUGUUAGAGACCUACAAUACCAAGAAGGCGGAGAUCAUAGACCUUGCUGACGGCCUCAGAGUUGCUGGAACGGGUAGGAGAGAAUGUCACUCCCUCCCCUAGAGUCUGCGAUCGCUGCUGCGUGGGUCCGGGAAGGAGCCGGGGAGGGGCCGUGCGACCAGGGGAUCAUCCAGGAUUCCUGCCACUGGUUCAGUGGAAACCCGCUGAUGGGGGAAAGCUUCCAUGAGUGGCAACCCCAUAAACCCAGGGCCUCGUGAGACCAGAGAACAGAACUGAUCUGAAUCCAGAUUGGCGUGCAAGAAUAGCAGCCCCUCCCUCCCAGCAAAGCCACUGGGCGCUGCCAUUUUGCCUGAAGGCAGAGAGCUCAGAACACAUGGCUCUCAACCCCCAUCUAGUGGCGACAGACUGUAACUGCAACCAAAUUCUACCACCACCGAAAAAAA